UUAGCAGAGGAUGGUGAAAAU
ensembl:piRNA 21ur-13062 ncRNA